rnacentral:misc_RNA from 1 species
GGAAGGAUCAUUAACACUGUUUGGGUCUCGUGCCCAAUACAAACCACACAACCCGCGAACUUGUUCCCAUUUAAACCAUUUAAACAACCAUAUAAUUAACACUAAAGUAUACAUUACAACCAAAAUAUACAACUUUUAGCAAUGGAUAUCUUGGUUCCCACAACGAUGAAGAACGCAGCGAAAUGCGAUACGUAAUGCGAAUUGCAGUAUUCGUGAAUCAUCAAAUCUUUGAACGCAAGUUGCGCCCUCGAGAUAGCCUUGAGGGCAUGCCUCUUUGAGUAUCGGUUUACAUCACUUUCACUUCGUCGUGAAGAGAAUGAGCUCGAUUGCGCCGGGCAAUUGGCUUUAAAUAUAUUCCGACAAUUAGUGUCGCGUCGUUUGAUUGGAUUUCUAAGCAAGCGGCCGGCCACGUCGGACGAAAACCAUAUAUACACUACAGAUCUCAAAUGAGGUAAGACUACCCGCUGAAUUUAAGCAUAUAAUUAAGCGGAGGAAAAGAAACUAACAAGGAUGGCAUUAGUAACGGCGAGUGAAGCUGCCAGAGCUCAAACCUGAAAUCUCUGCCGUUCGCGGCAGCGAGUUGUGGUCUAUUGAAGCGUGUCUCAGUGGCGGCCCCGGUCUAAAUCAAUUGGAACAUUGUAUCAGAGAGGGUGAGAAUCCCGUCUUUGGCUGGGCGACUGUCGCGUACGAGCCGUUUUCGAAGAGUCGGAUUGCUUGGGAGUGCAGUCCUAAGUGGGUGGUAAAUUUCAUCUAAAGCUAAAUACCUGUGGGAGACCGAUAGCGAACAAGUACCGUGAGGGAAAGAUGAAAAGAACUUUGAAAAGAGAGUUAAAAAGUACUUGAAAUUGCUGAGAACGAAGGGAUGGCGACUAGUAUUGGCGCGGGUGGCCCCCGUUGGUGACGGUACGAGACGGAUUGUCGGAUUGCUUGUCUUCCGCAAUUUGUUAAACGGCCGGACUGCGGGACUCUGCCACUCGCCGCCUUGAUCAGAAUGGAUUCGCUUCCGUUGAAAUGGCCGUCGGGAAGGUAACUGCUUUCGGGUAGAACUUAUAGCCCGGCGGUUUUGAACGGUCGCGGAUUGAGGCGCUGAAACAUUCUUUGAGAUUCACCCGUUGCUGUUUGUCGUCCGCGUUUGGGGAACAAAGUUCCGUCUGCGCCGGGCGGUGGCACUCGGCGGGCUGAUCAUCUGUCUGUUCACGAUUCUGAUGAAAUGGUCGUCAUUCACCCGUCUUGAAACACGGACCAAGGAGUCUUACAUCUAUGCGAGUAAUCAAGUGGAAAACUUGUUUGCGAAAUGAAAGUGAAUGAAUGUGACCCGCAAGGGGCAACAUCGGGCGGCUAAAACAACUGUACGACCACGAGCAUAUCUGUAGGGACCCGAAAGAUGGUGAACUAUGCUUGAGCAGGAUGAAGCCAGGGGAAACUCUGGUGGAAGUCCGAAGCGAUACUGACGUGCAAAUCGUUCGUCUGACUUGAGUAUAGGGGCGAAAGACUAAUCGAACUAUCUAGUAGCUGGUUCCCUC